AUACGUAGGGGGCGAGCGUUGUCCGGAUUUAUUGGGCGUAAAGGGUGCGCAGGCGGCCUUUUAAGUCAGGUGUGAAAGCUCACGGCUCAACCGUGGUAAGCACUUGAAACUGGGAGGCUUGAGUUAAGGAGAGGAAAGUGGAAUUCCUAGUGUAGCGGUGAAAUGCGUAGAUAUUAGGAGGAAUACCAGUGGCGAAGGCGACUUUCUGGACUUAUACUGACGCUGAGGCACGAAAGCGUGGGGAGCGAACAGGAUUAGAUACCCUGGUAGUCCACGCCGUAAACGAUGAGCGCUAGGUGUUGGGGGUCAAACCUCGGUGCCGCAGCUAACGCAUUAAGCGCUCCGCCUGGGGAGUACGUGCGCAAGCAUGAA
rnacentral:rRNA from 1 species